AACGAACGCUGGCGGCAUGCCUAACACAUGCAAGUCGAACGAGACCUUCGGGUCUAGUGGCGCACGGGUGCGUAACGCGUGGGAACCUGCCCUUAGGUUCGGAAUAACUCCCCGAAAGGGGUGCUAAUACCGGAUAAUGUCUUCGGACCAAAGAGUUAUCGCCUUUGGAUGGGCCCGCGUUGGAUUAGCUUGUUGGUAGGGUAAAAGCCUACCAAGGCGACGAUCGAUAGCUGGUCUGAGAGGAUGAUCGGCCACACUGGGACUGAGACACGGCCCAGACGCCUACGGGAGGGAGCAGGGGGGGAGGUUGUAUAAUGGGCGGAAGCAUGAUGUAGCAACGCCGCGCGCGGGAUGAAGGCCUGCGUGUGGGAUACAACUUUCUUUUGCGCCGAAGCGUGAGUGACGGUAAGGGGUAAAGAAGCCCCGGCUAACUACGUG
rnacentral:rRNA from 1 species